rnacentral:rRNA from 1 species
GUACACUCCUACGGGAGGCAGCAGUGGGGAAUUUUGGACAAUGGGCGAAAGCCUGAUCCAGCCAUGCCGCGUGCAGGAUGAAGGCCUUCGGGUUGUAAACUGCUUUUGUACGGAACGAAACGGCCUUUUCUAAUAAAGAGGGCUAAUGACGGUACCGUAAGAAUAAGCACCGGCUAACUACGUGCCAGCAGCCGCGGUAAUACGUAGGGUGCAAGCGUUAAUCGGAAUUACUGGGCGUAAAGCGUGCGCAGGCGGUUAUGUAAGACAGUUGUGAAAUCCCCGGGCUCAACCUGGGAACUGCAUCUGUGACUGCAUAGCUAGAGUACGGUAGAGGGGGAUGGAAUUCCGCGUGUAGCAGUGAAAUGCGUAGAUAUGCGGAGGAACACCGAUGGCGAAGGCAAUCCCCUGGACCUGUACUGACGCUCAUGCACGAAAGCGUGGGGAGCAAACAGGAUUAGAAACCCCAGUAGUCCCAUGA